rnacentral:rRNA from 1 species
UACGAAGGGGGCGAGCGUUGUUCGGAUUUACUGGGCGUAAAGGGCGCGCAGGCGGCGAGUUUUGUCAGGCGUGAAAGCCCCGGGCUCAACCUGGGAAUUGCGCUUGAAACGGGCUUGCUAGAGAUCGGGAGAGGAGAGUGGAAUUCCCAGUGUAGAGGUGAAAUUCGUAGAUAUUGGGAAGAACAUCAGUGGCGAAGGCGGUCUGCUGGGCCGUUGCUGACGCUGAGGCGCGACAGCGUGGGGAGCAAACAGG